CUUGUCCGAUGACGCAUACAAGAAUUCCUGGCAGUUGGAAUGACCGAAUUGUGGUGUUGACGAGGCGUAAAACUCCCCUUUCCUGUUUCAGUACAGAGCGUAAUUGUAUAACGCCGUGCGCGAUUGGAAUACGUCCAAAACGUACAAAGAAGUUGUUAUGAUGAGCCGUCAAAUCGCAGGUAUGACAUACUGCUUCACUUAGUCUGUUUUGCCAUUGAUUGAGAUAUGUGUGUGUCUGUGUGUUAGAGUCACUGAAAGAACGAUAGUUCACUUAUAGAGAUGGAAUGGUAAUACAAGGCUGUGUGUACCAGUUAACAGACAGGAUGUUAUAACGUGUUUUCACGUACGAAACUAUCGCUUGAAAACUAAAUAAUAGCUGUCUUUUCUACUCGGUGUGGUUAUGUUGUUCAUAUUGGUGUCAGCUUUCAGCAUAAUACGGUUAUAAUAAUGAUAAUGUUUUUUUUGGGGGGAUUCUCUCUGUGUUUUAAGUUUUUAUCUCGAUCCAAAUUUAUUAAUGGAAGAUUCGGAUAAGAAUGGAGUUAAUACCGACAAAUCUUGUAAAUGUUUUUCUUUCUUGAGGAAAUAAAAAAGAAAUGUUGAAAGAAUCAAAGCUUGCGAGAUCAAUCAUAUCGAUGUUGAGGAGGAUGACGUAAUUAAAAAAUAACAACAGGAAUGACGUGUCUCUACAGGUGAUGUAAACGGAAUAAACCAUGGUUUAAAAACAGUUUCUGAAUCUGUAGCAAUUUUUGAGAGACUAACACUAAGCCUAUGUUAUUUCCUAUAGUUUUUCAGAAAACAGACCCGUUAAAAAGUUUCCUAAUUUAAAUUUGAAAACUGUUAAGUUUAAUCACAGUGGGAAAAUACUAAAUUUUAAGUGGUUUCUUGAAGUGCACGGGCCUUUUAUUCCCUUUUUCUUGUGCUUGGAGUUACACGGAUUUAUACUCAAAAAUCGUUGAUAUUCCCAGAAUUAAGUGUGAACGAAAUAUACUUUUUUUUCGUAUUAAAGUGACCGACUCAUGAUCGUUAUAUUCAAGUAUUUGGCCUCAUUCGCCGGAAGUAGAACCUUUCUGAUCAUUCGUGAUAUAAAUAUAAUGAUGAAUUAUGACAUGCAGAGUGGAUGAUUGCAUCGAAGUGUCUUCGCUUAAGAAUCGAUUGUUUUUGUAAAAUGUGUGAAAACACUAAGUACUUGAAAAGCUUGGCUUAUAUAAGCGGGGCCCGAUUUUUGUUGCUAUGGACACCGUGCACCAUUGUUUGGAUGUUUUAAAAUGGAUUUAAUAGUAAAUGGCAUUUUAUUGACGUGUCUUUUGCAUGGAAAUUUUUAACAUAGUGCUAACGUUUGUGGUAUCCGACAGCGGUUCCUGUGGUGAAUAAAAUAUAAGUUUUGUAAUUCAGAAUGAUGAUUUUUGUGAAACUGUCGUGACACCAGACAGACAUAUUUAUCAAAACGUCUGACGUCAUAUAGAUCAUAGAGCUAAGAUUCCAGAGAAGACCUGGUUGAUCUAGAUCCAGACGUUUCAUAAUGGCCUUAAAACUCGCAAGCUACAACAAUCCCAAUAAAACUACACCACUAGUUCUCUUAUCGAUUCUUUAUGAGGAGUGUCUGAAAAACGGAAGUAGAUUAGCAGCAAAUGAAAGUAAAAGUAGAGGUUCCGGUGGAAAGGGAAGCAAGGGGGAAGAGGACACCGAUUUUGGCGCUGUUAUGUAUAUUAUAUCCGUGCUAGUCUUCUACUCGCUAGGCAUUGUGGUAAUGAUAAUAAAAUACCUACGGACAGAGAAGGAGGAAAUGGAAGAAGAGGCCGCUUUGGAACAUUUCUUUAAGGGGAUGCCGAAUAGACAGAAAGCUCACGAGAGCGAAGUAAAUCAGGUGGCUAUACAAGCGUUCCAUACUCUCACCUCCUCCUCGAAUUAUGAUGAGGAGAGUAACGAGGUGGUCGAACGUAUCGUAGAGACGUCGUGUAAUCCGGAAAAAGUUCGUUUUAAAAGACACGUCCUGGUAACGGAUGUUUGAUGUUCGUUUUGUUUUAAUAGGCUUUUAAAUUUAAAUUUCAUUCAGAAGUCGAUCAGGACGAGGAAAGCUAAUGAAUGACCGGGUCGUUCUGGUGUGUAAAAAUUGUAGUUAUUCCUGUGGCUGUGUGCAAUGAGAGGUGGGGUUGGUGUGAUUUGACUGGUGCCUUGAAAACAGAGCAGACAAAAACGAACAACAUACAUGUUAGCUCAUUUAUUUUAAAGUUGUCCGAUUGUCUGACACAAAUUGAGUAGUCUACUGUUGUCUAUGUAAACAUAUACCUUCACCAACCUCGUCCUAGAUCAUACUGGGAAACCGGGUCAGAUUUCCAAAAGGUUGAUAUAAAGCCACCGUUGCAAACCCAUCCCAGCAAUCGGUGAACUUUUCAAAUUAUAGCUUGCAUUCAGAAGACAUAAUUAAGGGGGACUGGAGAUAUAUGCGGAUUGUCUGAUUUUAAUGUAUCGGGUGAUAUACAUCAAUAAAGUUGAAUUGCUCUACUGGUGUUAUCAAUUUGUGGGGAUAUCAGUUGGGUUGGGGAGGUUAUUUCCAUAUGGAAAGUUCAUCUGUCUGAUCUGGGAUAGAGUUGGCGAUUCUUACUCUUAACGGUAACCAAUGCCGUAUGUGUAGCACUAUGCGUGCUAUGAGUCGCUGGUUAGAUUUGAAAAGCCAGUAAGCCGAAAACUCCCCACAUCCAACGUGUGACGCAUACUCGUUUCUGCUACAUACUCUCUUUUCAUCGUCUAGUAUUUGUAAUUCUCUUCUUUGGAUUCCUUUUCACGUUGUGUAUUUUCUUCUUACUAUCUCGGUAGUUAAGACGUUUGUCUUACCAGGAAUAACAGUGCAACAGUUCAGUUCUACAUUUUUAUGUCAAGCUAGAUGCAUAUGGUUAUAAUGCAUAAUAGAUAAUAUUAGCAUACGUAAAAUAACAUCUUUCAUUCAACCCCAACUCCCGUAAAAGUCUAAUCAGCAUGGCUAGACCCGAGAAACCGCUACAUCACAAUUAUGGUCAUCUAAAGAACCAAGGCGAUGUCUACCCUCUCUGAGAAUUCAGUGGCAGUCUCUAGGAACUCAGAUGGUCAUCUCUACGGAACUCGUAUGGUAUCUGUCCGAAACCCAAUGAUGUCUAAAAUUUAUAGGUCCUAAAUCACUCUUAUAACAUAGACAGUGUCCUUAUGACAGCUCUGUCAAUUAUUUAAUUGGACAAAUAUUACGUAAUUAAUUAUGAUGAUUGAUUACUAAGCCAAAUGAUGGGAUAGGAAUUAUCCAGCACAAGUGAUAAUAUGAUAUUCUGGGUUCACCUAAAAUCAUCUCUGUUUUGGUUUUAUAAAUCCUUUUAUGUGUCAACCACUCAAUCAUUUUAAUUUGAGUACGUGGGAUAUGAUUUUUCUACAAUGUUUGAAUCUAAUAAUUAAGAUACAAUGGUAUUACAUAUGACACUGUGCGGUGAUCUAGUUAAUCUCUACUAUGUGCCACGAGUGUGCGGCGAUCUAGUUAAUCUCUACUAUGUGCCACGACUGUGCGGUGAUCUAGUUAAUCUCUACUAUGUGCCACGACUGUGCGGUGAUCUAGUUAAUCUUUACUAUAUGUCACGACUGUGUGGUGAUCUAGUUAAUCUCUACUAUGUGCCACGACUGUGCGGUGAUCUAGUUAAGCUCUACCGUGUGUCACAACUGUGCGGUGAUCUAGUUAAUCUCUACUAUAUGUCACGACUGUGUGGUGAUCUAGUUAAUCUCUACUAUGUGCCACAACUGUGCGGUGAUCUAGUUAAUCUCUACCGUGUGUCACAACUGUGCGGUGAUCUAGUUAAUCUCUAUCGUGUGACACAAUUGUGUGGUGAUCUAGUUAAUCUCUAAUAUGUACCACGACUGUGCGGUGAUCUAGUUAAUCUUUACUAUGUGCCACGACUGUGUGGUGAUCUAGUUUGUCUCUACCAUGCGCCACAACUGUACGGUGAUCUAGUUAAUCUCUACUAUGUGCCACGGCUAUGCAGUGGUAGCGUUUGUCUCUUUUAUGGGACCUUGUGGUGAUAUAUCAUUAAUCUAUGCCACGACUGUGUGGUGAUGGCCUUAGUUUCUGAAAGUAUCGCUGCAUCUAUCUGUGAUUAGGGAUAAACUUUUAGUAUAUCAUGACACCUAGACUUUCUUAUUGUCUAUUAAUGAUAUUAGUUAGUCGGUUUUUGUCUUUCUUGGAACGCAAAUGAAACGAAACGAAAUACGUGUGCCGUGUACACGACUGAUAAAAUAUGAAAGCAAUUCGUUUGUUUUACUGUAUUGUGAUUUUUUCAAAGUUUUAUCCUCAUUCACAUAAUUUUUAAACAUUUAAAAUUUUGAAUAUUCUUGAUGAAGAGGAAUUGGAAUACAACCUGCGAUCAUUUUAGGUUUCAGGAUAAUGUGGUGCACUAAUUGUACAUUCUUUCCUUCUUUGCAAUAUUUGGAAUAUUAUUGGUGUAUGUGGUUAAGUGGCUCAGAGUUGAAACAGCUAGCCACGUGGGGGUCUUGCUUUAUUUUCUCUCUCAAUUAAUCACCACAUUUUUUCGUGAUGAAAAUAUUUAUAUGUAGCAUUGGCGUAGCUCAUCUCCGUUAUAAUGAAGGGUUUCAGAGUGGAAUAUAUAAAUCAACGAAAUCUGCUGUCACUACUACGACCGCUUUCGCCAAUGGGAUAUCGCAGACAUGAUAUCAACGAUGCUUUUUAAAUUGGUCGUUUUAUUCAAUCUACAGUCUACUGUUUGUAAAUAUAUGAACAUGGCAUCAGCCCAAAUUCAUUUAUUUUUUAGUUGAUUCUCCAUGUCCCAGGUAGUCGUUCGGAUGGGACGAAAAACCUGGGACUUAUGUACACCUUGACAUGCACGUAAAAGAACCCUCGAAUUUGAAAUAAGAGUGGGCGAUUGCGCCACUGUUCUGCAAAGAUUCUCCCCCCCCCCCCAAAAAAAAGCAAGUUUUACUUCCUCCAAUAGUGGAGGCCAUUCUUUUAAGAAAUUUAAAUUCACAGGAAUAUAUUUAGUUUCUAGUUGGUUACGCCAUAACCUAAUUUAAAAGAUUAAAAGUUUGUGGUUCCGCCUUUUAGAAAUUCUGAUUAUGCCACAUAUUUUUUGAAAUGAUCCGUAAACAAUAUGGGAUUUGAAUGCUCAGUUCGCAGGUUCGAUCCCGGUGUUGGCCAAGAAAGUUCAUCUAGAUUUUCCAGCGUGGUUUCUCCUUGUCAGUGGUUCAGGGACGAAAACCCGAGGUCCCGUGUACAUAUUGGCGUGUACGUAAAAUAUCUCUUGACAGUUGGAGUUCGAUAUAAGAGUAGGCCGUAGCGCCGCUGCUCGGGCAAAAUUUCCCUCAUAGCUAACUGUAUGGCGUAUGCCCGUCUUCAUUAGCCCAGUUUAGGAGCAGAACAGUAGGACGUUAAACCCCAUGUCAUUUCAUUUCUAUGUAAAGUGAAAUCUUUAACAUGUAUUUGCUAUUGUCGUACUUUCUAUAUACACAGUUUCGGUAAAUAAUUAAAGGGCCAUUAUGUAAGAUAAGGUAAAGAGCUCACAGUUUCCGCUAUAAUAAUUAAGAAAUAGAUAUUGAAAAUGGAAUAUGUUGAAAAUUUCAAUCAAAUUACUUCACUCUGAGCCGGGCUAUUGUCGGUACAAUAGCAGUGUAUAAUUGAUUGCCAUUUCUACCGUUGUUACGAUAGUAAACAAAGCCUCGAAUAUCCAUUUUUAGGUAUUUAAAUCUGUUGAAAUUCUAGAGUAUACGAUAUAACAUUUAAGGCAUAAGGAAAGACCAGCAAUAGGCAGAUUUAGCUCUUGCAUAAUGGAUGUUUAAUUAGCUAACCAGUUAGAAUGAAUAAAUACAUAAAACACGUAAGAUAUAUAAAUAAAUAAAAUGAAUCAAAUCAAUAAAUAAUCCAUCAAUCACAAAAUAAAAGAAAAGAAAAACAUAAAUAAAAUAAAAACAGUCAUUUAUAAUCUUGCAAUUCUAAACUAUUGAAGCCUUUCGAGUCAUACUUUAUGGGGCCGAGAGCAUUCCAUUUCUUCCAUUGAUUUGUAAUAUAAAAACUAUGAUACAAUACCACAGACAACAUGGCUACAGUCAUAUCCUGUCAAGGCGUAUAUCUAAUCUCAUUUUCCAAGUUAGAAUGAAUAACCGGAAUAAAAGUUGAGGGAAUUAAUUUGAAACCAGACAGCGAAAAUAAGCUUUGAAUUAGGCAUACUCAUAAAAUUUCCCCGGCUUCAUUGGCGGUCCCAUUGUUUCCGACUUUUCAGCGUUAAAAAUAAAAUUUUCUAAAAUUCCCAAUUGGAUUGGAGUUGAUUUACAAAAUCUAAUACAUGAUAUAACGGUUAUGGUAUCAUUAACAACAUCCCUAAAAGAGAAAAUGGAAUUGUCUUUGAAAUAUCCAUGCCAAUAAAAAAAUUGUUUAUUAGACAAGAAACAGUAUUCGUUGCCACAUGUAGGUCUGGAAUUAAAGCCACGGCACUUGUAUCGGUGCCAAACAAGAGAGAGAGAGAGAGAGAGAGAUGGAGAGAGAGAGAGAUGGGGUUUAACGUCCACGCAACAUAAGCUAGGUCAUUUCGGGACUAACACAUGAUUAAAUUUUAUUUCAUUAAUCCGCUUGCGCGUAGGAGUCUUUAGCAGAGGGAGGAAACCGAAGGACCCGGAGAAAACCCUCGAGGUUGGACAGGCGACCCUACUCCUUGUCACGUAUUCGAAACCUCGCCAGAUGACUUAAUGACAGACCUUAUGAUACAGCACGCUCGUGUUGCAACAACACAAGAAGUGUCUGACAUUUGAUUUGAAUUUACUUAAACUCUAACUUAAAUAUCCGAUGUCCCCGCUAAGUGAGUAAGGCGCUAACUCACUACGCAGGAGGUCUGGUGUUGGAUUCAGGUGUUAACUUAGAAAGUACCUUAUAUUAGGAUUUUCCAGUGUGGUUUCCCCUUAUUGAGGUCAUUGACAUUUUGAGUUAAACAGUUAAAAUGGAUAAAAUGGAUCAUCGAGACUUAGUCUAAGAUGUCGAGUACCGUUGCCACGAUGAUAAACAAUCUAUGACACAACUGGUCAUAACUUCAAACACUCAUAACUUUGCUCGGAAUAAAGAAUUAAUGGUCAGUUCCUUAUCUUAAUCUUACUUAAUGCAUCCUUAAGGUACAAUAUUCUUUAGAACCAAUUUCGGGGCCCUGGCCCAAUAAGCCCCCCGCCCCUUUCUUAAUCCGGCCAUGUAGUGUACUUUAUUAUUACUAUCAACGGAUAUUAAUUCAUAUUUUCUACAACUGUUGGUUGCCAUGGUAUAAGGAUUGUCUUUGUUUUAUUUAGAACCCUCAUCGGACGUAUCAUAUUAUAACGGAUUUUUUUUUUACAUCCAUUUUGUUGUGUAAUUUUGAAAAUUGGGGAUAAACUAUUAUCAGUGGAAAGAGAAACUGUUUUUGUUUUUGAAAUGAGAAUCUUUUGUUUUAACUACUUUUAAAAACAAAAGAAUUGUAAAUAUGAAUUUUUAACAUUAUGCACUUGUAAAUAUUCCUGUAUGCAAAACAAAAAGAUAAAUAAAAAAUACCAACGAUUCUUUUUGGUACAUUUAAUAUCA